rnacentral:rRNA from 1 species
GACGAACGCUGGCGGCGUGCUUAACACAUGCAAGUCGAACGGAAAGGCCCUGCUUUUGUGUGUUGCUCGAGUGGCGAACGGGUGAGUAACACGUGAGUAACCUGCCCUUGACUUUGGGAUAACUUCAGGAAACUUGGGCUAAUACCGGAUAGGAUCUCCUGCUGCAUGGUGGUGGUUGGAAAGUUUCGGCGGUUGGGUAUGGACUCGCGGCUUAUCAGCUUGUUGGUGGGGUAGUGGCUUACCAAGGCUUUGACGGGUAGCCGGCCUGAGAGGGUGACCGGCGACAUUGGGACUGAGAGACGGACCAGACUCGUACGGGAGGCAGCAGUGGGGAAUAUUGCAGAAUGGGAGGAAGCCUGAUGCAGAAACGCCGCGGGCGGGAUGACGGCCUUCGGGUUGUAAACAGCUUUAGCCUGUGACGAAGCGUGAGUGACGGUAAUGGGUAAAGAAGCACCGGCUAACUACGUG